AGUGAACGCUGGCGGUAGGCCUAACACAUGCAAGUCGAACGGCAGCACAGUAAGAGCUUGCUCUUACGGGUGGCGAGUGGCGGACGGGUGAGGAAUACAUCGGAAUCUACUUUUUCGUGGGGGAUAACGUAGGGAAACUUACGCUAAUACCGCAUACGACCUACGGGUGAAAGCAGGGGAUCUUCGGACCUUGCGCGAUUGAAUGAGCCGAUGUCGGAUUAGCUAGUUGGCGGGGUAAAGGCCCACCAAGGCGACGAUCGGUAGCUGGUCUGAGAGGCUGAUCAGCGACACUGGAAGUGAGACACGGUCCAGACUCCUACGGGAGGCACCAGUGGGGAAUAUUGGACAAUGGGCGCAAGCCUGAUCCAGCCAUACCGCGUGGGUGAAGAAGGCCUUCGGGUUGUAAAGCCCUUUUGUUGGGAAAGAAAAGCAGCAGGUUAAUACCCCGCUGUUCUGACGGUACCCAAAGAAUAAGCACCGGCUAACUUCGUG
rnacentral:rRNA from 1 species